rnacentral:tRNA from 1 species
GGGCACCUGGUGUAGUUGGUUAUCACACUCGCUUAGCAUGUAAGAGGGAAGGAGUUCAAUUCUUCUGGUGUCCA